GUCUUCGUGGCUCAGUUGGAAGAGCGUUGGUCUCAUAUCCAUUCGUAUGAUCCGGUCUAAGAUCGGGCUAUCCAAAGGUCGUGAGUUCGAGCCUCACCGAGGACA